CGCGUAGGCGGUGCUCUAAGUCCCGUGUGAAAUCCCCCGGCUCAACCGGGAGGGUGCGCCGAAAACUGAAGGGCUAGAGUGCGGGAGAGGAGAGUGGAAUUCCUGGUGUAGCGGUGAAAUGCGUAGAUAUCGGGAAGAAUACCAGUGGCGAAGGCGUUCUGCUGGGCCGUUGCUGACGCUGAGGCGCGACAGCGUGGGGAGCAAACA
rnacentral:rRNA from 1 species